rnacentral:rRNA from 1 species
GUAGGGUCCGAGCGUUAUCCGGAUUUACUGGGUAUAAAGGGCGAGUAGACGGUUUAGCAAGUCAGAUGUGAAAACUUGGAGCUCAACUCCAAGCCCGCAUCUGAAACUGUUAGACUAGAGUGCAGGAGAGGUAAGCGGAAUUCCUAGUGUAGCGGUGAAAUGCGUAGAUAUUAGGAGGAACACCAGUGGCGAAGGCGGCUUACUGGACUGUAACUGACGUUGAGGAGCGAAAGUGUGGGGAGCAAACAGGAUUAGAUACCCUGGUAGUCCACACUGUAAACGAUGGAUACUAGGUGUAGGCAUGCGAAUGUCUGUGCCGGCGCAAAUGCAAUAAGUAUCCCACCUGGGGAGU